GCAGAGACAUAGGCAGAGGGAGAGGCAGGCUCCAUGCACCGGGAGCCCGAUGUGGGAUUCGAUCCUGGGUCUCCAAGAUCGCGCCCUGGGCCAAAGGCAGGCGCCAAACCGCUGCGCCACCCAGGGAUCCCCUUUUUUUUUUUUUUUUUUUUAAGAUUUAUUUAUUUAUUUGAGAGAGAGAGAAAGCAUGAGUGGGAAGGGCAGGCAGAGAGGGGGAGGGAGAAAGAAUCUCAAGGAGAUUCUGGGCUGAGUAAGGAGCCCCUACACGGGGCUCUAUCUCAUGAACUGAGCCCAAACCAAAAGUUGAAUGCUCAACCAAUUGCACUACCCAGGCGCUGAAGUAGUUUUAUUUUUAAUUUUUUGAGGAAACUUCAUACUGUUUUCCAUAGCGGCUGCACCAACUUACAUUCCUACCAACAGUAAGUGAGGGUUCUGUUUUCUCCAUAUUUUUGCCAAUGCUUAUUAUUUCUCGUUUUUUUUGAUAACAGCUAUUCUAAUAGGUGUGAGGUUAUAUCUCGUUGUAGUUUUUUAAAAAUAUUUUAUUUAUUUAUUCAUGAGAGACACAGACUGAGAAAGAGAGAGAGACAGAGAGAGGCAGAGCCACAGGCAGAGGGAGAAGCAGGCUCCAUGCAGGGAGCCCGAUGCGGGACUCGAUCCCAGGACUCCAGGAUCACACCCUGGAUGGAAGGCAGGUGCUAAACCGCUGAGCCACCCAGGGAUCCCCUCAUUGUAGUUUUGAUUUGCAUUUCCCUGAUGAUUAGUGAUGGUGAGCAUCUUUUCAUGUGCCUUUUGCUCAUCUGUAUAGUCUUCUUUGGAAAAAUGUCUAUUCAAAUCCUCUGUCCGUAUUUUAAUUGAAUUAUUAUUAUUUUUUUGUUAUUGAGUUACAGGAGUUCUUUAUAUAUUUUGGAUAUUAACCUUUUAUCAGAUGUAUGGUUUGCAAAUAUCUUCUCCCAUUCAAUAGGGUAACCUUUUUAUUUUGUUGAUGGUUGCCUUCACUGUGCAGAAGCUUUUUAGUUUGAUGUGGUCUCAUUUGUUUAUUUUUGCUUUUGUUGCCCUUGCCUUUGGAGUUAGGUCCAAAAAAUCAUCUCCAAGAACAAUAUCAAGGAUUUUGUUGCCUAUGUUUUUCUCUGAAAGUUUUGUGGUUUCAGGUAUCACAUUCAAAUCUUCAAUCUUCAAUCUGUUUUGAGAAAAUUUUUGUGUAUGGUGUGAUAUAGUGGCCCAGUUUCAUUAUUUUACAUAUAGCUGACUAGUUUUCACAUCAUUUAUAGAAGAAACUGUCUUCCCCCUUGUAUAUUCUUGCCUCCUUUGUUGUAAAUUAAUCGAUUAUAUAUCUAUGGGUUUAUUUCUAGGCUUUCUAUUUUGUUCCAUUGAUCUAUGUAUCUAUUUUUAUGCCAAUACCAUGUAGUUUUAAUUCCUAUAAAUUCAUAAUAUAGUUUGAAACCAGGGAGAGAGGGAGAGUGAUCCAGCUUUGUGCUUCUUUCUCAAAAUGUCUUUGGCUAUGUGGGAUUUUUUUUUUUUUUUGGUUCCAAAUAAAUUUUAGGAUUAUUUGUUCUAUUUCUCUAAAAAAUUAUUUUGGAAUUUUGAUGAGGAUUGCUCUCAAUCUGUAGAUUUAGGGGGAGCAAGUCUGUCAAAUGUGGAAUAAAAGAGAAUGAAAAAAGACAAAUUUUAAAUGGUCACUCUAGAUUUUUUUGAAAAGAUUUACCAUAAAGGGACCUGAGAAAUGAUGGUAGUUGGUGCAAGACAAAGUGGAGCCAAAAAAUAGGAAUAAAAGUGUGAUUAAAGGUGGGAUAAAUAACGACAUAUUUGUAUAUUGAAGGAAAUGGUCAGUUUGAGAGGAAAAUAAUUAAUGAUGUCAAUGAUGUAGCAUAGAGAGGCAAGAAUUGCCUGUGUGGCCAUGAAUGGGCAAAGACUAAAGAUCAAAUGCACAAGUGGAUGAGUCAGCUUUAGAUAGGAGCAUAGAGUAUCCUUCUACAGUAACUGGUAGGAAGCAGAAUAUUUGGUUACACACUGGGCCAUAACCAAUAGAUGUGUAGGUUGUACUCUGCUCAAGGUUGUCUACCUCAGAAGAGCAGGGGAGCUGAAAUAUAGCCACAUUGUGUGCUUUAAUGUGGGAUCAAAUCUACACAGCAGAAGGACCAUAAUAGUAUCAUUUAGGAUACAUAUACUCAUAGACGGUGUUAUAAGCUGAAUCAUGUGUUCUUCCCACCCAACCUCAAAUUCAGAUGUUGAAGGCCUAAUCUUCCCAGUUCCUCAGAAUGAGACUAUAUUUGGAGAUAGGGUCUUUAAAGAGUUAAAUAAGGUUGUAAAGGUAAGGGAUUAAUCCAAUAUGGCUGACAACCUAUAAGAUGAGGAGAAAAGAGACACCAGGGAUAUGUGUGGCAAAAAGAAAAGAAAAGAAUGUGUGAAGACACAGGGAGAAGGCAACCAUCUGCAAACCAAGGAGAGAGGCCUUGGAAGAAACCAACACUGCACACACCUGAUUUGAACUUCUAACCUGCAGAAAUGCAAGACAAAACAUUUCUAUUGUUUAAACCACUUAGCCUGUGGUACUUUGUUAUGGCAGCCCCAGAAAACUAAUUUAGGUGGGUAGAUGUGGUGGAGGUCUGUGGAAGUUCUUUUUAGAUUGCUUCAGUUUUUCUCAGUGGGAUGUAAUCUUUGAAAUGUAGGCAUGCAGAUGUCGCUACAAUGAAUACUAUUUAAAUUGUUUUCUUCUUUUCAUGGGUUUGUUUUGUUGUUAAUUUACU
rnacentral:lncRNA from 1 species